CCAUUAUGGUUGGGAUUUUUUAGAUCAGCAGUUAUUGCUAUAUUGCCAUAUUCAUAAAUUCUCUACUGGCCUACUAAGUCCCAACAUAAUGA
rfam:Drosophila ananassae strain TSC#14024-0371.13 Ctg01_19362, whole genome shotgun sequence.